rnacentral:pre_miRNA from 1 species
GAGAAACCCUUAUGGGCAAGACUUGCUUCAGUGGGGCUUUGGUACUCACUGAGUCUGCCCCCUUAGUGUGUCCCU